GUUCUUUAUUCUCAAUUUUUGCUCUACUUUGGCUUGGAUAGUAUGAUUUGUUAUGUGAACUCUUUUCCAAAUUUUCAAUAAAUCUUUUUAUUCUCAACGGAGGUACUGUUAGUGAUAAAAAUCUGCUUACUACCACUGAGGGUAACUCAUACAUACGGUGUUGUUCAGUAUGAACUCAAUUUGGGUCUUUUUGAAUCUGGCCAUGUACGAAGCUUCUUCCGUGCAGUGACUUGUGAUAAAAAUAACAAUCAAUCCUGCUCAACAAAAAAGGAUGCUGGGAUGAAUCUUCGACGACGUGAAAUAUAUAAACAAUAGGUAGGUAGUUAAUGGACUGCUUGAAAAUUGAUGCUUCCUUCAGAUAGUUCAACAAGAGCUUGUUCAAGUGAUACCAAUCAGAUACUGAUGAAAAAUUUGGAUCCAGCCUGCACUAUAAGCUGUUCACCAGCUCGGCAUCUACAACCAACAACUGGGGUAAAAAAAAAUAAAUUUCUUCCUUGGCUAUAUUUUGUUGAAGAAGAAUUUACCCUUCAUCACUAUUUAUUAGGUUUUGAUCCAAAUGAACAGAAAUGGAUUUCUGGAUGUUAGAGAGAUCUAAAGGCAGUGAAGAUUUUUGUCGACAUCUCUUAUGUCUUUUGUUUGUUGUAGUUAUACUCCUGAUGAAGAGAUCAUAUUGACAACUGACGCCUCCAACAUGCAAAAUUGAAUUUUCUCUUUUGAUCUAAAAAAGAAGAGUUGGGAGAGAAAUUUGAUAUCAUUGGUGUUUAUAGUCCUGUAGAUAACCUCUUAUCAUGUAUUUAUUGUUAGUACUGAAAUCUAUUUAAGCUUGAAUUUGUUCGUGUA